AACGCCUCUAAGUCAGAAUCUGUACCAGAAACGAUGAUGUUGGUCCCGCACAUGUUAGUUGUGUUAAAAUAGGCUUCGGCUGUGUACCAAAUUUGGUAGAUCUGGCAGCAUUAGCGGAAAGGCUGGUGUUGUUCGUCUACGAAUUGAAAUGAGAUAUGGGCGGGGUGAAUCCUUUGCAGACGACUUGAAUAGAACGGAGUGCUGUAAGCAGUAGAGUAGCCUUGUUGCUACGAUCUGCUGAGGCUCAGCUUUUGUUCUACAGAUUUGU
rnacentral:ncRNA from 1 species